rnacentral:tRNA from 1 species
GAUAAAAUAGUAUAAUUAUUACAUCUCAUUUACACUGAGAAAAUCUACUUUAGUUGUUUUAUUU